rnacentral:rRNA from 1 species
UACAGAGGUCCCAAGCGUUGUUCGGAUUCAUUGGGCGUAAAGGGUGCGUAGGCGGCGCGGUAAGUCGGGUGUGAAAUCUCGGAGCUUAACUCCGAAACUGCAUUCGAUACUGCCGUGCUUGAGGACUGGAGAGGAGACUGGAAUUUACGGUGUAGCGGUGAAAUGCGUAGAUAUCUGGAGGAACACCGGUGGCGAAGGCGGCAUCCUGGACCGGCAUUGACGCUGAGGAGCGAAAGCCAGGGGAGCAAACGGG